rnacentral:misc_RNA from 1 species
UAAUAAGUGUUUUAUGGCACUUUUUAAAUCCAUAUCCACCUUGUGUGCAAUGUCGGUCGAUACUUCUUUUUUGAGGAUCGACCAAACAUCAACCUUUAUUUUUUAACUCUUUGUCUGAAAAAUAUUAUGAAUAAACAAUUCAAAUA